rnacentral:ncRNA from 1 species
GUUCCACGUGAACAGUAGUUGAAUGUGGGUCAGUCGAUCCUAAGACACUGGCUUAUGCCUUGUAUCAUCGAGAGGCAAAAGUCUCUUUUCUCUCGGAUAUCAAAAGGGAAUGGGGUUAAUAUUCCCUAACGCAGUCACAGAGAUUGUGGCUCUUUGAUUCACUUGCGCGGUAACGCAUUCGAACUUGGUUACGUCGCUCAGAGACCGAGCUAGAGUUCUCUUCUCUAGUUAAGUAACGGACUCCCUGGAAUCGGUUUAGCGAUUAUGCAUGGAACAGAUUUAAGGUGUGCCGAGUCCUCGACCUGCUCUCAGUGUGUGAUCUGCGUUCUCAGCAGCCAGUUGAUCGCUCGAUACUAAUGUUUGCUAUUUGUCGGA